rnacentral:rRNA from 1 species
CAAACUUGAGAGUUUGAUCCUGGCUCAGAACGAACGCUGGCGGCAUGCCUAACACAUGCAAGUCGAACGAGAUCUUCGGAUCUAGUGGCGCACGGGUGCGUAACACGUGGGAAUCUGCCCUUGGGUUCGGAAUAACUCUCCGAAAGGAGUGCUAAUACCGGAUGAUGUCGAAAGACCAAAGAUUUAUCGCCCAGGGAUGAGCCCGCGUAGGAUUAGCUAGUUGGUGGGGUAAAGGCCUACCAAGGCGACGAUCCUUAGCUGGUCUGAGAGGAUGAUCAGCCACACUGGGACUGAGACACGGCCCAGACUCCUACGGGA